CCUCGUCGAUCUGCUGCGGGCUGAUGAAAUGGAUGUGCGUGUCGAUGCCGCCCGCCGUGACGAUCCUGCCUUCGCCGGCGAUCACCUCGGUGGCCGCGCCGAUCGCGAUCGUCACGCCGGGCUGGAUGUCGGGGUUGCCGGCCUUGCCGAUCGCGGCGAUGCGGCCGUCCUUGAUGGCGAUGUCGGCCUUCACGAUGCCCCAGUGGUCGAGGAUCACCGCGUUGGUCACGACGGUGUCGGCCACCUCGGCGGCCACGCGCUGCGACUGGCCCAUGCCGUCGCGGA
rfam:Burkholderia glumae PG1 chromosome 1, complete sequence.